UCGUGGUGUAAACUGUCUGCUUUAUUGCGUUAACGAGCGAGAUAAUCAUCCUAAUCAUUAGGAGAGUACUGGCGCUGAGUCAGAAGAACAUGAUUGCCCUAGCA
rnacentral:rRNA from 1 species